rnacentral:lncRNA from 7 species
UCCGCCAGGCCGCGCCCCUUCCCCACCCUUUCCGUCACCAACAGGUCUGCAGUCAUUCAAGAUAACUGGUUGUACAAGUCUGAAUGGGAAUAUUGCAAGUAAUUCUGAGGAAUCAGGAAAGAUGGGAAAAGAAAGAGGCCAGAGGCCUGGCAAUACCACACGAAUGCAAACCGUCAGCUGCACCAAACCCUUUUCACUCCUGGAGUCAAAAACAAUGCCCCAUUCUCUUACCUUCCUUUGGUCACAAAGUGGGACAAAGUACCUGCAUUUACCUACGUUUUUCAUGCUGGGGUUGGACUAGCAAAGACAGCUUCUUCAGAAGCCCAUCCAUCAGCUGCCUUCGGUUAGAAAGGAGCCUGAAGCUGAGAAAGAUUCCUUCUAACUGUGAGAUACGAACUCCCAAAGCAGUGAGUAGAUGCAGUGUUUCUCCAUGAGCAAUGCGUGCAUCACCAUAAAAGCAUUGUGCUGGUUUACUUGGACUCUAAAACUGCAGACAAUGAUUGAAGGAAGAGGACAUAAAAUCUGCACCAAGUAUAAAUUUCAAGAAUGCUUCUAUUUGCCAUUUGCACGUUAAAUGAUGUUUUUUUGAAGAAGUAAUAGACACAAUAAAGAAGAUAACGCAAAUUGUUCUUUCUUGACACUGCAGAUCUCUAAAAGCUUCCUGAAAUGGCGUAACUGUAUUGUCAGUCCAGCUGCCUCCAGAUAAAAUGAAAUAAUGCUUUGUGGCACAAGCAGGUUAUGACAGUCUGAAUGGAAGAGCCUGAGCAGAACAAAACUCAAAAUGGAGCAAGGCUCCCCGACAGCAAAAUAACAAUGUGACCGACUUGAAAAGACAGAGGGAAUAAUGAAAUCAGAACAAGUGGUAGAGACUUACCAUCACGGUGUGCUCAGUUUGCUGCUCCGGAUAGUUACUUCUCUUGGAUUAAUUACUGAAGAAAGGAAAAUAGGUGUAUUUGUAGGUCACCCUAUUUGAGCUGGAAGGGUGGAAGAACGCAUGGUGCUGUGCAGGGCUGGUCAUAUGGGAGUUCUCACCCUUCUCCUCCAGGUGAGGAAUUAGGCUUCAUAGAGGCAUCUCUUGGUCAGUGGUUGGUGCUGGGAGUGGCUGCUGGGUCAGCUUCCUCCAAACCCUCUCCAGACUUUUUUCCAGAGCAAAUCCCAGUGAUGAACUCUGUAAGAGGUCAUCCCUCCUUUUACUACAUUGAAUGAUAUUCAUACCUUCCAGUAUACAAUCUGGAGCAAGCUUUCCAAAGGAAACCAAUCCAUUGUGCUGAAAAAAAUCACACAACGGAAUGAAAAUAUCUCCUUGUGCAGCCCGUUUGGUCCCUGUUAGAUGCAUUAGAUGGAUCAAUACCAGUUUACCAAGCUGGGUGGAAGAAGGUUGGAGCUACAUUAAAUUUGUUUCAUGCCUGCUUGAUUUCAAAUGUGAAGCAAGAACAAUAAAUGGACAUUGAGGAUUUCAAAGAGAACCUUUGCUGUUGGGGAAGUUAAAGUGAUCAAAUUUGAAAGAACAUAGACAAUGACAAGAUAUCUUUUCUGAGACACCAAAUCCUGAGCUUGGAAUGACGCAAUGGCAGCAACAACGCAUGGGAAAACUCAGUUCUCUCCCUUGUGCUUACACUUCAAGACUGGAGCUUUUUCCUCUGCACUGACGUGAGCAGAGUGAGAUCUGCACAGCCAGGUCAUUCAGGGAACAAACGGAGACUUGAAUGAGGUCUGGACUGUGCUCAUGUCCCACACAAUUGCUCGUUUUACCAGAGCAAACAAAGGAUGGCAAAAAGAGGGGAAGGCCCCAAUAAAGAAUGGAUUCAGGCCCAGAGGAGCCACUGUGCAGUCCUUCCUGCAACUUCGCAUUUAAUUUUUAAACACAUAAAGAUUAUGUCAAGUACUAGGGAAAAGAAUUAAAGAGAUUGCGAUACUUACAGGAAGACUUGAUUUUCUUUUGUGUAUGUGUGCAAGAUCUUUCCUACCAGAGAAGAGUCAUGCGACAUAUAUGUCUCUCCAUUGCUAGUUUUCUGCCUUUCCUCUCUGGUUCUUCAUCCUUCCAGAUUUGCCUUUGCUAAUUCUCAUCAGAGAAAUAUUACUGACAGAGGAGACAAAAUUCAGAGCUGCAGAUGUUUUUAUAGCACAGUCACAGUUUCCCUGUCAAAGCAACAGUGAACUCAGAGCAGGUAUCUGUGCUCUUCGUGAACCAGAUUAAACUGCUCCUUGUCCUCUCUAUAAAGCCUGCAGUGGAAGCCAAAGUAAGUUGUAUGGAUCUGUAAUGAAAAGGACUCUUCACACCUGGAGCAAAGAGCUGAAUGAAACAAUUCCCCAUCCCAGCAUUCUCCUCCCCAGUCUCCAGAUGAAGGUCUGAUGCCUUACUGGGAAUCCACUGCUGUCACACAUAAGCUACCAGGCCUGGCAAUAAAUAAAGCAGGUAAAGUGCAAUGGUUUUAAUAGGAAAGCAUUCAAACUAUC